rnacentral:rRNA from 1 species
CUGGCCCUAAACAAUGUCCACUAGAGUGUGGCUCCACUGACGGAGUCAUGCUCGAAACGAAAGCGUUAAGUGGACCGCCUGGGAAGUACGGUCGCAAGGCUAAAACUCAAAGGAAUUGACGGGGGCUCACACAAGCGGUGGAGCAUGUGGUUUAAUUCGAAGCAACGCGCAGAACCUUACCUGGGUUUGAAAUUCUAGGAUUAUCUUUGUGAAAGCAGAGUAGGCCCUUCGGGGUACAACUAGAACAGGUGC